AGAAAAGGAGUGGAGGAUUGUCUUAUUUGGGAGUUAGACAAUCACGGUAGUUUUUGGGUAAAAAAACUCACCCAUUUGAUGGGCAAUCUUUUGGAGGUUACCAAUGACAAUUUUUUGGGGUUGAUAUGGAAAGCAAAAGUGCCUUCAAAGGUACAAUGUUUUAUGUGGUUAGCUUACUAUACCCAUGGUGCAAGGAGGUUGAAGAGGAUUGCAAUCAUGUCAUUUUGUGCUGUAAGUGGCGUUGUCAAUUUUGUGGUAAGAUAGUGAGUUGGUGGGGAAUAGUGAGGUGUUUCCCUAAUGUUGUCCAUCUUUCAUGGAGAGGAAAGGAUGAGAGGAAUGCUAAUGUGAGGGGCAGCACUAUGGUCCUUGUGGGGGUGCUAGAAAUGAAAUGGUGUUUGAGGGAAAGAAAUGGGAAAUAGGAACUUUGGUGGACUUGGUGAAAUUAAUAUCAUUUUAUUGGGUGAAAUCUGCUCAGGAAGAUCAAAAUAUCAUUAAGUCAACAUGGUGAUAAAGUCCAUAAGAGGGGGUUGCUAAAGGAAAACCGAGCACACAAAACGAGUAGUGAGGGAUGACCAACGGAAGAUGUUAGUGCUAUUUUCCAAGCCAAUAAGGGAAGCUGACUUAAAUUAUGCGGAGAUUAAAGCCAUUGAGAGAGCUAUGGAAAAUUUUUGCCAAAUGGUUAGACCAUGGAAUUGGUGGAGGGAAUUCUAGAGGUUAGACAAACUAAACGACAUGAUUGGUGCGGUCAAGGUGGUGACUGUCCUUAGAGAGGCAAGUGAGGGUGCCCAUCAUUUGGCCAAACAGGCAUUUCGAGGCAGGACAUACUGGUGGUGUGGAUUUGAAGAGGAGAAGGCCUUGUUUACAUUGAUUGUUGAGCAGCUAAAAGGUGCGAAGGUUGUCUUAUUGUACCCCUAGGAAGCCUCUGCAUUGAUUCCACAUGGGAUUGUGAUCUGUGACCUAACUAGCUGCUGUCUAAUGUUGUGCAAUUUCCCUCUCCUAUAUUUGUGUUUGAUGUUGUUCUGUGCAUGUUUGUUAUGGGUUAACUCUAUGCUUGUGGUUCGUAGCUGAUGUUUGAAAAUCUGCAUUAUGAUACCUAUGCUUGGAGGCUGGCAAGAGAUUACCGUUGCUGCUGGCUGAUUUUAAGCUUUGUUGAGCACUGAAUGGUCUUUGUGCAUUGUUCUCUGCUUAGGGAAUUUGAAUGGCCUUAGGCAGUGUAUUAACUCUGUUUCCAGGUGAUCUUUUUGGGACUUGUACAUGGUGGUUUCCUACUUUUGUAAAGGGUUAAUUAAGCCUAAAAUAUGUAUAGGGUGAUUGGGUAAACUUGUGUUCCUCUAUGGAGGAUUACGAAUUUAAAGUAACCUCAUUUGCUAAUGAAA